UAAGAGGAAAGCUUUAUUGAUAAAGGUGGGGUUGUGUGACGCCUUUAUCUGGUCGCGGAACACAAACGAAGAACGUGAAGUUGCAGCUAUGGCGAACUUGUAAUCUAAACAAUACCCAAGUCUAAAUGGUGCCCUAAUGGCUGUAUAUAUGCGGGAAUAGGGAGGCAAUUUCAUGACCCUUGGAGGAGGGGUCCAAAAACAACCCUAAACUCGGUUUCCCCACACAUACGAACUCUACAAACAGCCUAUACUAUGGUAUUUCGAAAUUACAUGGGCCUGGCCCAAAAAUAAGGUGGUACAACACCUAUAAUAGCCUAUGGACGAAAUUUAUAAAGUGGCGUCUUGAAUAUUUCGUCCAAAGCCUUCACGCUCUCCUUAUGGUGGCUUUAAAGUACGAAAAUCACCAGUGGCAGCUCCAUUGUUCUCUCCUGCGUGUGCACCUUCUUCUCCAUGCUUGAUCCCGCUCUAACGGAUAUCCU
rnacentral:lncRNA from 1 species